ensembl:snRNA U6 U6 spliceosomal RNA
UCGCUUCGGCAGCGCGUGUACAACAGACUGGAACAAUGCAGAGAGAUUAGCACGGCCCCUGUGCCCAGGAUGGCACACAAAUUCGGGAACUGUUCCAUGUUUUU